rnacentral:snoRNA from 2 species
CCCCUCUCAGGAUUGCACCUGGUUAGUUUCCAGUACUCUACCAGCCUCGACUACAGGAGGAAGAGUCAAGCAGAGGUGUACCCAUUCCAUUCCUAGCUCGGGCAAUGGCUAGCGAGUGGAAGGCAAUCUGCUACAAGU